UGUUUCCUGGAAUGUGCGAGCACCUCAUAAUUUUGAACCUACAUUUUUUUGAACGGGAAUCCUAUAUCGCGAAAUAGGAUGUCAGACCUCUCGUCGUGGUAGACAGAAUAUUAGCUGCGGACACCCACCUAGCGUUUGCUAGGCGUCAAAAUAUGGGAACGGCAUUUCGGGGUCACA
rnacentral:other from 1 species